AACGAACGCUGGCGGCAUGCCUAACACAUGCAAGUCGAACGAGACCUUCGGGUCUAGUGGCGCACGGGUGCGUAACGCGUGGGAACGUGCCCUUAGGUUCGGAAUAACUCCCCGAAAGGGGUGCUAAUACCGGAUAAUGUCUUCGGACCAAAGAUUUAUCGCCUUUGGAUGGGCCCGCGUUGGAUUAGCUAGUUGGUAGGGUAAAAGCCUACCAAGGCGACGAUCCAUAGCUGGUCUGAGAGGAUGAUCAGCCACACUGGGACUGAGACACGGCCCAGACUCCUACGCGAGGCAGCAGUGGCGAAUAUUGGACAAUGGGCGAGAGCCUGAUCCAGCAAUGCCGCGUGAGUGAUGAAGGCCUUAGGGUUGUAAAGCUCUUUUACCCGGGAUGAUAAUGACAGUACCGAGAGAAUAAGCUCCGGCUAACUCCGUG
rnacentral:rRNA from 1 species